ACUCAGAGUCCUGGGCUUACGCAAUUGGUGAGAAAUGGAAGCCUGCUUGCUCUGGGUGCUCCUGCUCCAGGUUCAUCUCAGCAAUUUGCCUGACAGAGGGUGUCUUGUUCCACAACUCUAAGUAAUGAAGAAAGAUGCUGAAGUGGUUGUAUUAUCCUUCACCCCAUCUGUCCUAUAUCAUCAGAACAGGGUAUUACUGUUAGUCUUUGCAACCCAAUGGACUGUACCUCUGUCCAUGGAAUUCUCCAGGCAAGAAUACUGGAGUGGUUGCCAUUGCAUUCUCCAAGGGAUUUUCCUGACAUCCUGACCCAGGGAUUGAACCAGGAUCUCCCACACUGCAGGCAGAUUCAUUACCACCUGAGUGAUCAUUUCAGGGUGAGUACAUAAAGAAACCUUGGUAGAGAAUAUGAAAGAGAAACCAAAUUCCAAAUACUCUAGACUGUAAAUUGCUGCUGCUGCUGCUGCUAAGUCGCUUCAGUCGUGUCCGACUCUGUGUGACCCCAUAGGCGACAGCCCACCAGGCUCCCCCGUCCCUGGGAUUCUCCAGGCAAGAACACUGGAGUGGGUUGCCAUUUCCUUCUCCAAUGCCUGAAAGUGAAAAGUGAAAGUGAAGUCG
rnacentral:lncRNA from 1 species